GAACGCACAUUGCGCCCGGGAGCAUUCUCCCGGGCAUGCCUGUUCGAGCGUCAUUUCAACCCUCGAUUUCCCUUUGGGGAAGUCGGCCGUUGGAGAUCGGCAGCACUGCCGGCUCCCAAAUACAGUGGCGACCCGCCGCGGGGACCCCUGCGUAGUAACUUACACUCGCACCGGAAACCAGACGUGUCACGCCGUAAAACCCCCAACUUUCUGAACGUUGACCUCGGAUCAGGUAGGAAUACCCGCUGAACUUAAG
rnacentral:misc_RNA from 1 species